CCUACGGGAGGCAGCAGUGGGGAAUUUUGGACAAUGGGCGCAAGCCUGAUCCAGCAAUGCCGCGUGAGUGAAGAAGGCCUUCGGGUUGUAAAGCUCUUUUGUCAGGGAAGAAACGGUGGGAGCUAAUAUCUCCUACUAAUGACGGUACCUGAAGAAUAAGCACCGGCUAACUACGUGCCAGCAGCCGCGGUAAUACGUAGGGUGCAAGCGUUAAUCGGAAUUACUGGGCGUAAAGCGUGCGCAGGCGGUUUUGUAAGUCUGUCGUGAAAGCCCCGGGCUCAACCUGGGAAUUGCGAUGGAGACUGCAAGGCUUGAAUCUGGCAGAGGGGGGUAGAAUUCCACGUGUAGCAGUGAAAUGCGUAGAGAUGUGGAGGAACACCGAUGGCGAAGGCAGCCCCCUGGGUCAAGAUUGACGCUCAUGCACGAAAGCGUGGGGAGCAAACAGGAUUAGAUACCCUGGUAGUCCACGCCCUAAACGAUGUCUACUAGUUGUCGGGUUUUAAUUAACUUGGUAACGCAGCUAACGCGUGAAGUAGACCGCCUGGGGAUACGGUCGCAAGAUUAAACUAAAUGAAAUUGAGGCUGAGACGNGACGAGACGACGACGAGGAGAGG
rnacentral:rRNA from 1 species